GAUGAAGAACGUAGCGAAAUGCGAUAAGUAGUGUGAAUUGUAGAAUUCAGUGAAUCAUCGAAUCUUUGAACGCACAUUGCGCCUCCUGGCAUUCCGGGAGGCAUGCCUGUUCGAGCGUCAUCAAACACCAUCGUGCGAAUGAAUUUUCGCGCGGAAGUGACGAUUGAGCGAUAAAUCUUUUUUGUUCGCACCUCGUCGAAAUGAUUGCGGGCGGAAUUUGGGAUCGGGUUCCUCGGCGUAGUGUACCAAUGCAUAUCUAUGUAACUUGCCGCGGAGUUGAGCCUGACCCACGCGUUCUCGCCGUACAAAACUCAUUACUUUACAAGUUUUUGACCUCGGAUCAGGUAGGGAUACCCGCUGAACUUAAGCAUAUCAAUAAGCGGAGGA
rnacentral:misc_RNA from 1 species